GCUCAAUACUUCUCUACCGAGCCACCCAGUCCAGCACUACUGAAUGCCUGCGAGAGUUCUCUGUUGGAGAGUUCAGGAAUGAGCAGUUUUAAAAGUCAUGGAAAAGGAAGAGAGCAUAUUUUCCAAAACUUCAGGAUUCUGUGAACUCAAGGACAGAGGAAAUAUUAAACUAGUCGAAACCUUUCUUCUCCAUCCCCUGAACAGAAAUUCUGGUAAUGUAUCAUACAACAAAAUCCUUUGGAACGCCAGAAUGUGGACUUCACUUGAAGACCUAUGGAGAAAAUGGCUUAAGGCAAUGAAGCAAAUGUGCCUCCAUAGGCACAUAGGUGCAAAACAGGUGGUAAAGAAAUCAGUCAUGGACUCUUGCUAUGAAUUACAGCAUCAUUCAGAAUUUAUCAAAACUUCACAUGGAUAUCAUAUGUACUCUUCCAUGGCAAUCAGUUAUAGUAAGAGUAUAGAGUUACUCAUUUCCUGGCUGCACUGAUAACAUGCAGAUAUUCUCAUGACAUAGGAUUUGCUACUGGACACAAGGCUUUGAAAAGACUUUAAAUGCAAUUCUAAAUGCAUUACGUGUGGACACCAUUCUGCAUAUUUAAACUUACUUGGUUAAUUAAUUAAAUAGUUAAUAAAGGCUAGAGUUCAGUUUUCA
rnacentral:lncRNA from 1 species